rnacentral:tRNA from 1 species
GCGCUGAUAGUGUAGUGGGCUAGCAUCCUGCUCGAAGGCAGGCAGCGCGGGUUCGAUUCCCGCCUGGCGCA